rnacentral:rRNA from 1 species
CUGGCGGCAUGCCUUACACAUGCAAGUCGAACGGCAGCACGGGAGCAAUCCUGGUGGCGAGUGGCAACGGGUGAGUAAUAUAUCGGAACGUGCCCAGUCUGGGGGAUAACGUAGCGAAAGCUACGCUAAUACCGCAUACGAUCUAUGGAUGAAAGCGGGGGAUCGCAAGACCUCGCGCGAUUGGAGCGGCCGAUAUCAGAUUAGGUAGUUGGUGAGGUAAAGGCUCACCAAGCCGACGAUCUGUAGCUGGUCUGAGAGGACGACCAGCCACACUGGGACUGAGACACGGCCCUGACUCCUACGGGAGGCAGCAGUGGGGAAUUUUGGACAAUGGGCGCAAGCCUGAUCCAGCAAUGCCGCGUGCAGGAUGAAGGCCUUCGGGUUGUAAACUGCUUUGUACGGAACGAAACGGUGAGCUCUAAUACAGUUUGCUAAUGACGGUACCGUAAGAAUAAGCACCGGCUAACUACGUG